rnacentral:rRNA from 1 species
GUUUGAUCCUGGCUCAGGAUGAACGCUGGCGGCAUGCCUAAUACAUGCAAGUCGAACGAGAGGAAGGAAAGCUUGCUUUUCUGAAUCUAGUGGCGAACGGGUGAGUAACACGUAGGUAACCUGCCCAUGUGCCCGGGAUAACUUCUGGAAACGGAUGCUAAAACCGGAUAGGUAGCAGACAAGCAUUUGACUGCUAUUAAAAUGGCCUUGGCCAUGAACAUGGAUGGACCUGCGGUGCAUUAGCUGGUUGGUGAGGUAACGGCCCACCAAGGCGACGAUGCAUAGCCGGCCUGAGAGGGCGGACGGCCACAUUGGGACUGAGACACGGCCCAAACUCCUACGGGAGGCAGCAGUAGGGAAUUUUCGUCAAUGGGGGGAACCCUGAACGAGCAAUGCCGCGUGAGUGAGGAAGGUCUUCGGAUCGUAAAGCUCUGUUGUAAGAGAAAAACGGCACUCAUAGGGAAUGAUGAGUGAGUGAUGGUAUCUUACCAGAAAGUCACGGCUAACUACGUGCCAGCAGCCGCGGUAAUACGUAGGUGGCGAGCGUUAUCCGGAAUGAUUGGGCGUAAAGGGUGCGUAGGUGGCAGAUCAAGUCUGGAGUAAAAGGUAUGGGCUCAACCCGUACUGGCUCUGGAAACUGAUCAGCUAGAGAACAGAAGAGGACGGCGGAACUCCAUGUGUAGCGGUAAAAUGCGUAGAUAUAUGGAAGAACACCGGUGGCGAAGGCGGCCGUCUGGUCUGGAUUCUGACACUGAAGCACGAAAGCGUGGGGAGCAAAUAGGAUUAGAUACCCUAGUAGUCCACGCCGUAAACGAUGAGAACUAGGUGUUGGGGGAAUAACUCAGUGCCGCAGUUAACGCAGUAAGUUCUCCGCCUGGGGAGUAUGCACGCAAGUGUGAAACUCAAAGGAAUUGACGGGGGCCCGCACAAGCGGUGG